AAGCAACGCGAAGAACCUUACCAGGUCUUGACAUCCUCUGACAACUCUAGAGAUAGAGCGUUCCCCUUCGGGGGACAGAGUGACAGGUGGUGCAUGGUUGUCGUCAGCUCGUGUCGUGAGAUGUUGGGUUAAGUCCCGCAACGAGCGCAACCCUUGAUCUUAGUUGCCAGCAUUUAGUUGGGCACUCUAAGGUGACUGCCGGUGACAAACCGGAGGAAGGUGGGGAUGACGUCAAAUCAUCAUGCCCCUUAUGACCUGGGCUACACACGUGCUACAAUGGAUGGUACAAAGGGCUGCAAGACCGCGAGGUCAAGCCAAUCCCAUAAAACCAUUCUCAGUUCGGAUUGUAGGCUGCAACUCGCCUACAUGAAGCUGGAAUCGCUAGUAAUCGCGGAUCAGCAUGCCGCGGUGAAUACGUUCCCGGGCCUUGUACACACCGCCCGUCACACCACGAGAGUUUGUAA
rnacentral:rRNA from 1 species